rnacentral:tRNA from 2 species
GGCCCUAUGGUCAAGCGGUUAAGACAUCGCCCUUUCACGGCGGUAACCCGGGUUCGAAUCCCGGUGGGGUCACCA